CCUUACGUCGCCUAUUUAAUAUCGAGGAAAUUUAUAUUUGGGAUUCAUUUACUGAGUUCCUGUACAAGGUUUACAGUCUGAAAAAUUACGUUAUACUUAACAAUUAUAAUAUUUAAAAAAGACCUUAACCUUUUCUCCUCUAGAUAUUACUUGAAUUCUACGAUAACGAUAAAUCUAUAUUAUGCGGAAUUUUCAGAAAAAAAUAACUAUUUAAAAAUAACUGCUAUGUUUAUUCAUACUUAAUAUAAAAUUAAUAUACACUUAUAAUUAUUAACUACAUUAAAAGGCGACGUGGAUCAAAUUUUCAUUGACAUCCUAACGU